rnacentral:rRNA from 1 species
UACGUAGGGACCAAGCGUUGUUCGGAUUUACUGGGCGUAAAGGGCGCGUAGGCGGCAAUUCAAGUCAUCUGUGAAAUCUCCGGGCUUAACCCGGAACGGUCAGAUGAUACUGCUUUGCUAGAGUGCGGAAGGGGCAAUCGGAAUUCUCGGUGUAGCGGUGAAAUGCGUAGAUAUCGAGAGGAACACCAGAGGUGAAGACGGAUCUCUGGACAAAUCCUGACGCUGAGGCGCGAAGGCUAGGGGAGCAAACGGG